UCUGACGGACACGCCGCGUGAGUGAUGAAGGCUUUCGGGUCGUAAAACUCUGUUGUUAGGGAAGAACAAGUGCUAGUUGAAUAAGCUGGCACCUUGACGGUACCUAACCAGAAAGCCACGGCUAACUACGUGCCAGCAGCCGCGGUAAUACGUAGGUGGCAAGCGUUAUCCGGAAUUAUUGGGCGUAAAGCGCGCGCAGGUGGUUUCUUAAGUCUGAUGUGAAAGCCCACGGCUCAACCGUGGAGGGUCAUUGGAAACUGGGAGACUUGAGUGCAGAAGAGGAAAGUGGAAUUCCAUGUGUAGCGGUGAAAUGCGUAGAGAUAUGGAGGAACACCAGUGGCGAAGGCGACUUUCUGGUCUGUAACUGACACUGAGGCGCGAAAGCGUGGGGAGCAAACAGGAUUAGAUACCCUGGUAGUCCACGCCGUAAACGAUGAGUGCUAAGUGUUAGAGGGUUUCCGCCCUUUAGUGCUGAAGUUAACGCAUUAAGCAUCCGCCUG
rnacentral:rRNA from 1 species